AAUUAUGCAUGUGUAGUUUGUUGAAGUUCAUAGUUUUAAGGUUGAGGACGGAUAUUUUUUUUCUCUCCUGAAAUUAGGAAAAUACAUUUUCUAAAAUUAUAUUCAAGACUUGGAGUUUCUUAAAAAAAAAAAAAAUGAAAUAAUUUUUCAAUAAAAUUUAAUAUUAUUUGAAAAAACACAUCUAUUGAUACACGUACCUAAUUAGAAGAUGGUCUGCAAGUUCAUCGCGAAGUCGAUAUUUUCACUCCUUCGUUCCAAUAAUACCAACACGAUGGAUACCUACCAUUUGUUAGAAAUGGUCUGGUGGAAAAUUAAGUCUUGGUUUUUCAACGUGUAGGAUGUCAUAGAAAUUUGAUUUAUUACGAAAAUCUGCGCAUUUACACUCUCUAGGGUGCCCGAGCAAACACCACCACCGACAUUUUUCCAUUUUACAAAAUAAGCAACAUGUGAAAUAUAUUACCUGUUAAUACAAAAACCAAAGCCACUUGAAAGUUGGCUCUUCUUUAUCAAAAUACAUAAAUAUUUUCUCGCGUACCGAACGCGACGAUCCCAGACCCCGAGUUACUUAUUCGGAACCCCCUCCAAUGACCUGCUGAUACAUCGGUUUAAAAUAAUUACAAAACUUGUGGAUUCUUUCUCACACGAUGAACUUAUAUAUGACCCUUGCGAAUCCUUUAAAAUGAUUAAAAAAAAGUCAAUUUUCCUCCAUCGAAUACCCACUCGUAUAUUUAUUCUUUUAAAUGCGACCUCGAUCGGGUAAUGAAUUCGUGCGAAUUAAAAUUUUUAUCGUUUUUUUAAUCAAAGAAAAGGCCGGAUUUGGUACCUUUUGUAAUCGGCAUUAACGCGAAUAAUGACCUCGGGAUUAGUUUUAUUUUCUUUAAUGGAUUUUUCUCGCCUUUGAAAAUAACGUCGUAUUUAGAAAAGUAAUUUUUGUUAAAUCUCGGUGUCACGUCUUCCGAUGACAUUGAAGUAUUCGUUUGAUUGGCAAUUUCGUAUCCGUUGGUUUUUUUUUCCUUCUAAAAGCCUAAUACAACGUGGACUUUUCGGCUUUUACUUCAUUUUGUAUUUACGUGAUAACCAAUUUUCUACUUAAUAUUCCGGCCCAAAAAGUCCCCUCUGUUUUGAACGCGGUGGAAAAAAAAUUAAAAAUUAAUUCCAACCUGGAAACUUCGGUCGAAUGUAAAGCCUUGCGUUGGUUUAACCUGUCGUAGAAUAAGUAGGUAACCUACUAGGAAAUUAACUUUUCCCCUUCGGGUCUGCUUUUUGUUACAUGCAACUUGCUAUUAAACAACAGUUCGGCAAGUUGGCGAAAAUUUUUAACAAGCUCCUAUUAACACCUUGUUAAAGUUAGUUGAAAUGACGGAAAUUAUCUUUUUUUGCCUUUUUAUUUCCGCAGCUGGAUUAAUUUCUGAAUCUUCGCCCCAAAAAAAAAAAGAGUUCCCAUUCUAUUAAACUUUGUUAAUUUUGUCCUCUUUGAAGUUGCAUAUUUUAUGAGAUAAAGUGAGUUCUGGAGAAAAAACGUCGAGAUGAGGAAAAACAGUUGGUAUUAGCCUGAAAAAUACUCGUUUUGGUUAUUUUCCCAUGGGAUGGUUCUAACGCGCGAAUUCAAAGGAUGUGUCGAUAAGAGUGAGAGGUAUUUUUCUAACUUGAAAUUAAAUUAUUUGUUUGAUCUUGCGCUUUUCACAAAGUUACUUACUGAAUUCUGGUUACGAAAUUCGAAAUGAAAUUCUCUUACUGAAAUGGGAGGCAGAUUACUCACGAACUGUUCGCUUGUCAUUAAAAAAGAAAAUAGGCAGGAGGUACUUACAUAUGUGUGCAAAUAAUCACAUUUCAGCGAAGUUAUCCAAUCUUAUUUAACAUCCAUGAAUUUGAAUCAACCCCAGGUAUUUACUUGGGUCUGAAAACAUCUACUGAUUGAAAACUGUGUCUGAAUCAACCCCAGGUCCUUACUUGGGUCUAAAACAGGGAUCCGAACAGGAAAAAAAUGUUGGUUAAAGGUUAAGGUUCCCGACAGUUACUGAGAAACAAGUGAUGGAUUCUGGGUAAGUAACGGUUACAGGUCAAGUGCCCAAAAUUAAAAAUUUGGGUUUCUGGUUAUGGGUUCCAAAAAAAUUACCUCAAGUUUUUUCUAUCAAAGAUUAAGGUUAAGGUAAUUUUUAAAAAAAUUGUUUUGAAUAAAAUUUUCAAAUGCGUGUACAUAUAUACACUGCUUAUUGGUAUUCUUUAUUCAACUGUGUAACAAUUACAAACCUGCGGAUGGACCAUUUUGAAGCCGUUUCUAUGAAAUUUCAAAAAAUACUGCCCAUUUUUUCAAAAAUGAAUGGGACUCUUCAAAUCCAGACAAACUUUAAAAUAUGAAUAAAAAUGAAAAAUUCGUUAAAUUUUUUCAAGUUUAGCACAACAAGUGAUAAAAAAAAUCAAUUUUAUUGAAAAAAUUGGAAAAAAAAUGAAAAAUUGAACUAGGUACUGAUAAAAUAAUAUUGUGUCGUAGGUACCUACUAAAUAUACGUUCGUAUAUUCGAUACCUACUGACUAAUUACCUACUCGAAUAAGCAGGUAAUCGGAUACGGAGAAUGCACUGGUGUAAUCGUAAUAAAGCUAAUUACUUACCUCGGCUAGGGCUUUUAGUACACUACCGAACACAAUACAAUAUCAUACGCAAAGUUCGUGUAAACGAAUGUAUUAUGGUCAAAAAUGACACAAUAUACUUAAACCGACUCGGAGAAAUAGGGAAAACAAUACAAUAUUUAUCAGAGGGGGAAAAUUACGUUAACACUACUGAAUUAUUACUAAAUUAUAAAAUAUACAAGAACACUUUAAACCUAGGGCCGGAGCUCUAAAGAAUUAAGGACAUAUUAUCUUGGCAACUCGCUUGCUUCACGAAAACGAACUACGAGUUGGUCCAGUUGCCAAAGAAGCUGGACGGCUCAUUUGACACCUUGACCACUCAUUGUUACCAACCACAUCACCGAACGGUGCUGGAAGGGUUAAAUUACCUGUUUUACACAUACGUGUUACCAUUAAGGCAUAUCCGUCUAACAUAUGCCCUCCGAGGUUUACUCAGCUAUGACUCAGCGAGCUAAGUUCCCAGCAGAGGAAAUCACGGUGUGAGACAUAGACAUGACUUAAUGAUAACACUGUCCGUACGGACCCUGCUGCCCCCCAUGAGUUUCUCGGAUGAGAAAUUGGUGAGCAGAGAAGAAAGAAGAAAAUUCUCAAAUUUGGAACCACAGCGCACCCUAGGUAUUGAAGCAGGCGCGUACGUGACCCACUGAGCCACCAGAGAUCGAUCACUCGAAAUACAAUGUACUCAACAAAUACACGUAACUACCUAGCUCUAGCCUAGGAUACACGACAUCGAAAAAGUUGCCAUUUAGCAAUAAUACAAUCCUUUUUUGUUUCAGAUAUCCGUCCAAAAAGGUGAGAAUAUGGAUCGAUUGAAGAUAAGCCGCCUGAGCUCUGAACGAUGAAGAAAAGAAGAGCUACGUACGUAGCUGCGCGUUCGAUGUCCAAGUCAACAUGUCCAAAACAGGUUUAUGGGUCAUUAGCGCCUCCGAGCCGGUUCUAUUUAUCGUCGUAAAUAUUCUUAGUAAAUAAGUGCAAGUUGUAGAAAGAAAAGUGUGCAAAUUUAAGAAUACGUUUGUACUUUUAUUUGUAUUUGAGUUACAACAUGCAUUAUAGGAUAUUGAUUAUUGUUUAUUGAGAAAAAAUAAAAAUAAAUAUCAAUACUAUUUCGUUAA